rnacentral:rRNA from 1 species
GAUGAACGCUGGCGGCGUGCCUAAUACAUGCAAGUCGAGCGAAUGGAUUAAGAGCUUGCUCUUAUGAAGUUAGCGGCGGACGGGUGAGUAACACGUGGGUAACCUGCCCAUAAGACUGGGAUAACUCCGGGAAACCGGGGCUAAUACCGGAUAACAUUUUGAACCGCAUGGUUCGAAAUUGAAAGGCGGCUUCGGCUGUCACUUAUGGAUGGACCCGCGUCGCAUUAGCUAGUUGGUGAGGUAACGGUUCACCAAAGCAACGAUGCGUAGCCGACCUGAGAGGGUGAGCGGCCACACUGGGACUGAGACACGGCCCAGACUCCUACGGGAGGCAGCAGUAGGGAAUCUUCCGCAAUGGACGAAAGUCUGACGGAGCAACGCCGCGUGAGUGAUGAAGGCUUUCGGGUCGUAAAACUCUGUUGUUAGGGAAGAACAAGUGCUAGUUGAAUAAGCUGGCACCUUGACGGUACCUAACCAGAAAGCCACGGCUAACUACGUGCCAGCCGCCGCGGUAA